rnacentral:rRNA from 1 species
UACGUAGGGUGCGAGCGUUGUCCGGAAUUAUUGGGCGUAAAGAGCUUGUAGGCGGUUUGUCGCGUCUGCUGUGAAAAUCCGGGGCUCAACCCCGGACUUGCAGUGGGUACGGGCAGACUAGAGUGUGGUAGGGGAGACUGGAAUUCCUGGUGUAGCGGUGAAAUGCGCAGAUAUCAGGAGGAACACCGAUGGCGAAGGCAGGUCUCUGGCCACUACUGACGCUGAGAAGCGAAAGCAUGGGGAGCGAACAGGA